rnacentral:rRNA from 1 species
AAGCGCUUGUGACCAGACUUGUGCCUUGUGAAUCAUCCAGCGUUCUCGCUGGUGCACUUCGCUGGGUUCAGGCCAGCAUCGGUUUCCUUAGGGGGAUAAAAGCGGCAGGAACGUAGCUCUUUCGGGAGUGUUAUAGCCUGUUGUACAAUACCCUUCAGGGGACCGAGGUUCGCGCAUCUGCAAGGAUGCUGGCGUAAUGGUCAUCAGCG